rnacentral:rRNA from 1 species
AGAACGAACGCUGGCGGCAUGCCUAACACAUGCAAGUCGAACGAGACCUUCGGGUCUAGUGGCGCACGGGUGCGUAACGCGUGGGAAUCUGCCCUUAGGUACGGAAUAACAGUGAGAAAUUACUGCUAAUACCGUAUGAUGUCUUCGGACCAAAGAUUUAUCGCCUAGGGAUGAGCCCGCGUUGGAUUAGCUAGUUGGUGGGGUAAAGGCCUACCAAGGCGACGAUCCAUAGCUGGUCUGAGAGGAUGAUCAGCCACACUGGGACUGAGACACGGCCCAGACUCCUACGGGAGGCAGCAGUGGGGAAUAUUGGACAAUGGGCGAAAGCCUGAUCCAGCAAUGCCGCGUGAGUGAAGAAGGCCUUGGGUUGUAAAGCUCUUUUACCCGGAAGAUAAUGACUGUACCGGGAGAAUAAGCCCGGCUAACUCCGCGCCAGCAGCCGC